GCAGGCCUAACACAUGCAAGUCGAGCGGCCGUAGCAAUACGGCAGCGGCAGACGGGAUAGUAACACGUGGGAACGUACCCUUCAGUUCGGAACAACCCAGGGAAACUUGGGCUAAUACCGAAUACGUCCGUAAGGAGAAAGAUUUAUCGCUGAAGGAUCGGCCCGCGUCUGAUUAGCUAGUUGGUGGGGUAAUGGCCCACCAAGGCGACGAUCAGUAGCUGGUCUAAGAGGAUGAUCAGCAUCACUGGGACUGAGACACGGCCCAGACUCCUACGGGAGGCAGCAGUGGGGAAUAUUGGACAAUGGGCGCAAGCCUGAUCCAGCCAUGCCGCGUGGAUGAUGAAGGCCCUAGGGUUGUAAAGUCCUUUCGGCGGGGAAGAUAAUGACGGUACCCGCAGAAGAAGCCCCGGCUAACUUCGUGCCAGCAGCCGCGGUAAUACGAAGGGGGCUAGCGUUGCUCGGAAUCACUGGGCGUAAAGCGCCUAGGCGGACUCUUAAGUCGGUGGUGAAAUCCUGGAGCUCAACUCCAGAACUGCCUUCGAUACUGGGAGUCUCGAGUCCGAGAGAGGUGAGUGGUACUGCGAGUGUAGAGGUGAAAUUCGUAGAUAUUCGCAAGAACACCAGUGGCGAAGGCGGCUCACUGGCUCGGUACUGACGCUGAGGAGCGAAAGCGUGGGGAGCAAACAGGAUUAGAUACCCUGGUAGUCCACGCCGUAAACGAUGGAUGCUAGCCGUUGGCAGGCUUGCCUGUCAGUGGCGCAGCUAACGCAUUAAGCAUCCCGCCUGGGGAGUACGGUCGCAAGAUUAAAACUCAAAGGAAUUGACGGGGGCCUGCACAAGCGGUGGAGCAUGUGGUUCAAUUCGAAGCAACGCGCAGAACCUUACCAACCUUUGACAUGUCCCGUAUGAGCAACAGAGAUGUAGCUCUUCAGUUCGGCUGCCGGGAACACAGGUGCUGCAUGGCUGUCGUCAGCUCGUGUCGUGAGAUGUUGGGUUAAGUCCCGCAACGAGCGCAACCCUCGCCCUUAGUUGCCAUCAUUCAGUUGGGCACUCUAAGGGGACUGCCGGUGAUAAGCCGCGAGGAAGGUGGGGAUGACGUCAAGUCCUCAUGGCCCCUACAGGUUGGGCUACACACGUGCUACAAUGGCGGUGACAAUGGGACGCAAUGGGGCAACCCUGCGCAAAUCUCAAAAAGCCGUCUCAGUUCGGAUUGCACUCUGCAACUCGAGUGCAUGAAGUUGGAAUCGCUAGUAAUCGCAGAUCAGCACGCUGCGGUGAAUACGUUCCCGGGCCUUGUACACACCGCCCGUCACACCAUGGGAGCUGGUUUUACCUGAAGGCGGUGCGCUAACCCGCAAGGGAGGCAGCCGACCACGGUAGGAUCAGCGACUGGGGUGAAGUUGUAACAAGGUA
rnacentral:rRNA from 1 species